UUCACCAAGGCACCCCUCUCUCUCUAGAAUAGGGAGUCAUGGGAGCGGCGGCCGUGGUGUUGGAGCUGGCUGCCCUCUGGUAGCCAGCCGGGUGCUGGCACCCAGGACCUCAUGGUGGACGGUGGAGCACACACCAGACCAAGCUCUCCAAGGCACAGUCUUCUUCAAGCCUCACUUUGCAGGUGAAGAGUGUAGUCUGGCUCAGAGGUCAGGUGCUGCCUCUUUCCUGUCAUGGAUGAGUGGUGCAUCUGAACUUACGUGCUAAACCUGCUCUGCUCAACCUGUUCUCCUGACGUCAAUAAGCACAGUGCUACCCCGAUUGAUACAAACCUAGUUUCCUGGUAUGAGAGUCCAGAGGAUUUGGCAUGCCAUACGUGUCACCAAUGUGAACACAAGUUUAUUUCUCGGUGGCAUUAAUGGCCUAGAACAAGGGCACAACCUUCCAGAUAGAAGAUAAAAGAAGUGGAGAAGCCACAGCACCACUCCACCUCUCAUAGUUCAUGAAGCUUCCUCUGUGCAUGGUGCCCCCAUGUGGCGCUCAGGGGCCCAAAUGUGGGUCUUUGCUUGUGCUAAAGCAUGCACUACUCCUAGCCUUCUUCUAUAAUACCUACAAGAGGGUGGGCCACUUUUUCCAGAAAGAAAAACCAGGACUUUUCUCACUGAUGAGGAAGCUCAGAGGCUCACUCAAAUGCCCUGCAAUGGUUACAAAGGGCUUUCUUGGAGAGUUGGGCAGUGGUACAACGGGUUAAGUGCAUGUGGUGUGAAGCUGAAGGACCAGUGUUGGGAUCCCAGUUCGAGCCCCCGGCUCCCCACCUGCAGGGGAGUCACUUCACAAGCAGUGAAGCAGGUCUGCAGGUGUCUAUCUUUCUCUGCCCCUGUCUUCCCCUCCCCUCUUGAUUUCUCUCUGUCCCCAACAAUGACAACAUCAAUAACAAUAAUAACUACAACA